rnacentral:rRNA from 1 species
AUUGAACGCUGGCGGCAGGCUUAACACAUGCAAGUCGAGCGGAGAUGAGGUGCUUGCACCUUAUCUUAGCGGCGGACGGGUGAGUAAUGCUUAGGAAUCUGCCUAUUAGUGGGGGACAACAUUCCGAAAGGAAUGCUAAUACCGCAUACGCCCUACGGGGGAAAGCAGGGGAUCUUCGGACCUCGCGCUAAUAGAUGAGCCUAAGUCGGAUUAGCUAGUUGGUGGGGUAAAGGCCUACCAAGGCGACGAUCUGUAGCGGGUCUGAGAGGAUGAUCCGCCACACUGGGACUGAGACACGGCCCAGACUCCUACGGGAGGCAGCAGUGGGGAAUAUUGGGCAAUGGGCGGAAGCCUGAUCCAGCCAUGCCGCGUGUGUGAAGAAGGCCUUUUGGUUGUAAAGCACUUUAAGCGAGGAGGAGGCUACCUGGAUUAAUACUCUAGGAUAGUGGACGUUACUCGCAGAAUAAGCACCGGCUAACUCUGUGCCAGCAGCCGCGGUAACAC